UCAUUUCAUUUUAACAGUUUGUGAGCUACUCUCAAUUUGGCCUGUCCAAAUUUUUUUUCCAAAAAGUUUUAAAAUUUAUGUAAAUUUCCGUUUCGUGUUCUUUGGAUAAAGUGUAAUCAUGCCUGGCAAAAAGCGAAGCUCUUCCAAAAAAACGGCUAACUCCUCUACACCGGUUUCCAACGAAUCGGAGCCGACAAGCCCGGAGGGUGCACCAGCCGUACCUCCGAAUCCUGCUGAAAAGGAGUCCAAGAAGAGCAGAACCAAGAGCAGCAAGUCUAAAUCCAAAAGCAAGAAGGUUUAAAACAAACCAAAGGAUUGACAGUAUAAAUGAUGUGCACAAAAACUAUUUGAGGACUUUAAAACAAGUAAAAUCAAAUACCCCUUGCAUAUUGGUAAUGCAGAAACGACUGGCUUGACGAUGUAUUUGGAAAAUAAAUGUUUGAUUUUAGCAAGAGCUUGUUGAAAAGAUGGUCAAUAUAACGCUAGAAAAAGGUCACAAUUGUAACAAGGAGCAGCCCCUCUAAACAUUCACAGCCGGCAUGUCAAGCCGUUUUAUACCUGCUAACUAACUCAAGAAUUUUAUUUAGGCCGUUGGAACUAUGAAACAAGAAUUAGUAGGCACUUGAAGAUCAAAGCUAUGCAGAACUUGAACCAAACAGACCGAAUGAAUGUAAUUUACGUAUUUAACAGCACUGGAAACUAAAUUCUUUAAUUUUACCGAACUCACAAUAAAACAAGCCUAGCAGACAUAA